CUGUGUGUGACCUUAGAAAGCUAAAUAACCUCCGCAUUCCUUUAAAGGCGGCUUUAGUUUACUCCCCAACCUGCACGUGUGAUUAAUCAUGUAAAUUCUCUCCAUCAAAAUUCAAACUUCUGUGGCGUUGCUGUGAAACGUAAAUGGAUAACAUGUAAGUUAGUAACUUAGUAACUGCCCAUUUAAUAACGCAAUUAAUACUGUGCGUUUGCAAGAUCUGUUAAAUUUUCCCUUUUGGUAAACUAAUUUUUGAUUAGUAAAUGUGAUCUCGAUGCUCACUGCGCAACACCUUUUCACCUCUGUAACCGUUUGUAAUUAUUUGCUGUUUUUAAUAAUCUUUUCCUCAAUAGAAACAAACGAAUCACAACCAUGUAAAUCGUUACGUUGAUUAAAGAACGUCUUGUCGGAUCUUGUGAGAUCAUAGUUUUUACCAGCGUACCACUCGACUUUACCCACUUAGUAUCAAAAUUUAAAUAGGGUCAACUCAUAAAGUUCUUCCUAGUGCAAAGAUUUCCAAGCCAAAACCUCUGUUGACCUGGGGCCAGGACUAACAUCCAAAGGCUGUAGGGGAGCUUCACAGUCAGCAGGUAAGUCAAGGGAUUACUGACACCAGAAAGAUGUCACCUGUUUAUGCUUUUACUGCUUUUGUAGAUCAUCAGUUUUAGGAAUCGAGGACUUCAUGUUGUAGGAAUGAAACUGAAUAAUGAAGUUUUACACUUUAGGAGUUUUUACUAUUAAUGUAGUACAGCUUCGCAGAUGGGUGACAAAAAACGAGAUAUCGAACAAGUGUUAUUCCCCACCCCAAGACAUAUCUACUCCAUACAGGUGAUACCAGCAUCAGUAGAUCGGACAUUGAAUGAUUUGUGUACUAUAUGAUAUGAAUCAACAUCAGUGUUCUUGUUGGGCCUCAUACACUAUAUGUUUAAAAAUGUUUAAAAAUAUAUAUGUUUAAAAAUAUAGUGUAUGCACAAAAAAUUCAAAAUUAUGAAUAAGCACAUUCCAAAUCAGUUAACUACCUCUUGGAAUAUCUGGCACCUCUCUUGACAUGACCUUAUUGUAAUAUGCAAAACGAUGUAAAUACGGCCUCCAUGUUCUUUGUUUGAUAAAAGGAAGUCACUGAAUGGUAGUUGGGUAGAGACAUGGAAAAAAAAAAUACACUCAAGCAAUUGUGAUUUUUAUGUAUUAGCACUGUGUAUUUAGUCAAAGGCUCCAAUUAGAUCUAGGAAGUAUUAGGAAUUUCACACUCAUCAUAUGGAUGAUUUCCUCUCUUGCAACUGGCCUGACUCGACUCAAGUCUGACUUAUAUGGCCAAAUAAGUUAGCAGACAUUCUCCAAAAUGACCUUUGUAGCAUGGAACCACUGUGUAGUCAGCUAUGUGCUGUAAAGGCAGCACAUAGCACUUAGCUGUGUUGUGCUUCAGAGAAAAGUUCCAACAGGAUUAAUCCUAGAAAACUGAAACAAACUAGUCUUGGUCUCUAAAGACACUCUUUGGCACAUUGCAGUAUACAUUGUCUUUUACCAAAACUAAAUUCAUUGUUUUUAAAGGUAGUUUGUACACCGCUUUGCACACGUAACUAACCCAACAUCUAGUUUCAUUGUAUCGGUUUACCAGCACAGCCUUUUAAGUUUCACCAAAAACUGUAAAACUUGGUCUAUGCCAGCCAUGAAGUUAGGACUGUCCACAUCUCUGUGAUUGGUUCAUUAUGGACACACCUGAAGUUUGUAAUGAAAAAGGGUUGAAUUCAUGACCUUUAUGUAUACACAUAGAACACGAGAACCCUUGUGAUAAAACGUACAAAGUGGACAUUAUCAGUCUGCAGUUUGUGGGUCUAGUGAAUCAGCUCCUCUAUGAUUGAAUGUGUUUUGUAGUGCUAAGUACAGUUCUGACACCUGAAAAAGCUUCUGCUAAUCCUGUUUUUGUAUGAACCUCUGCUUUCUGACUUACCAAGUUGAGGAUUAUUAGAAGAUGUCACAGUUAAACACAUUCCAGGGAAUAGUUUGAUAUACUCAGUCACAAACUUUAAUAACCCAGAGGAAAUGGGAAAUGGUCCAGUUUGGAUGGGAAGAGAUAAUCAUGUAAAUGAUUUGAUUUCUAACAAGCUGGUAGAACUAAAAGGGCCACCAGAAGAAAUAGUGGCACCGUCAUGGUAGUCAUGGUUCUGAUUGCUGAAGUGUUCAGCAGUAAAAACAAUGAAGUUCAGCCUGAAGUACGUUUAGAAGUUGCACUAGAAGGCAUUACCAGCAGUGUAGUAAUUUU